UCUUUCUCUCUCUUUCUCUGUCUAUACGUAUAGAUAUACUAUGUGCGUGGGAUGGUCCGGCUCACGAUGGAUCCAAGUACGAGUUACUUUCCUUUUAAUAGAUCCUCCGGAUAAGUGCGUCGAGUAAAGAGGAUUAUCCUACUUCGAAGGAAGUGCGAUCGAUCGCGUGUAGGCGUAAUUGCGAGUGAUUAAUCGAUCGGACGUCUAUGGAAGUGAGAAACUGGUCACGUGUAGGUAUGUGAUCGUCUUUCUUAGAUAAUAUUUACGUUUAAAAAAGAAAAGAGGAAAAGAAGGAGAAAAGAUUUUCUCCAAAUUGGCAACCCUCGUUUGUUAUUAUAAAGGAAGAAAAAUCACUAAGGGAUCGCGUGAGUGGUUCUUCGUAACGGAAACUUCGCGUGGGAUCUAUCGAUCGGACACGUAAUCGAACUUGGAUGCCCUAAUUUCAUCGACCCCGUACAGUUGUACAGUUGUAGAUGAGCGUACUUAAUUCUCGAGAUUUUUUCGUUCCACUUGACGCAUUUAUCAUUUUCUUAAUUUUUUUUCAUUUUUUAAAAAUUUGUUUUAAUAAAGAAUAUGGGGUGUCACUUGUACGAGCAAUCGAAUAUUACCUCUUCUUCACUUCCUUUCCUUUUCUUUGAAAAAAUUGUAGUAAAUCAUGAUUUAUUAGGUAUUGGUACAUAUAGGAAAAAGGAAGAGUAAAUAAUUACCUAUAUCGCAGAACGCCGAGGACGAAAAUUCUGCUGGUAGAUAUCUGGUGGGGUUGGCUCUACCUGGCGGCCGAUAGCACGAUGGGUUCCGUGCACGCGCGCUACGGAGUCUCUCCAGUCAGCGAAGAGCGCUCUAACGCGAAGGACGUGGGAAAGAUCGAUUCGCGUUGAAAUUCGUAUUUCUCGAUUUUACGAUCGUUCUUAUUUUCGUUUACAGCUGCGAGAACUACUGUUGAGGAACGUUAGAAGUGUAACGCUUCGUGUGAUACUUGAUCGAACGAAAUAAAAGAUAUUCAAUCGGAUUGUUCGCGUUAGAAAUCGAAAAGUCUUAGAAAAGUUUCACGAACUUCCUUUUUUUUUUCUUAUCAAAAAAAAAAAAAAGAAAAGAAAGAGAGAAAGAAGAGAAAAGAAAAGGAAACAAAAAAAAAAAGAAAAAAAUCGGCAUAGUUAUGUACAACGAGUACCACCACCAAUACUACCACCAUCAUCAUCACAACUCGGUCCCUACGUUCUUCCCACUCGACCAGAAUAAAAAAGCAAGCGAAGGAAGAACUUACUACGGUACAGUAAAACGCACGUUCGGAAGAGUCUCUCGAGACUAAUACUCUCGAUUCGAUCGCACGAUCGAUUCUCUCGUCGUGACGUCGAUACUUCCGAUAAGCCAUCUGAAAUCGAGCGGAAGAUAUUCUAUCUGAAAGAGGAUCACGAUGAGACCGAGAGAGUAAAAGAACAAGUAGAAGUAGAAGUAAAAGUAGAAGAAGAAGAAGA